GGUAACGCAUGUUUCUUGGUGCUACCUUGAACUGUUGGUUGACAAAGCCCUAGUUGAGAAACCUUUGGUUUUAAACUAAAAAUAAUGUGUGUUUGGAUAGAUGCCUGAUUGUGACUGUGUUGAAUCGAAUACUGUUUGGAAAGGAUAUGCUUUUGUGCUGGAUUGCUUUGUGGAGGCUCUUUCAUCUGCUAGCCGGGAAUAGUUAAGUAUAAGAGACCUGGUUGACGGAGAAUGAUCAGGACACCAACUUGUCAACUGAUGGAUUUGGGGGACCUUAUCGACUUGAUCGGGAGAGAGAGGAGUGGGGUGGCUGCCAGCAGCAGUGUAGCCUCUUGUGGUGGUGGGCCCUUUACCUAUUUGCAGUGAUCACAGUGAAGUGUGUGUACGCGUGAGUGCUAUCUCCUUUGCUCAAAGGAUGCCAGGCCUUCCCCCUCCUUGAAGUGGGACGUUUUGUUUGUUUCUAAUUAUUUGAUGUAGUGAAUAAAACUUGAAUCUGUUUUAAAUAAAGUUGUCCUAACU